AACUUUGGAAAAGAACUCUUGCUUCCAUUGGGCCUGAAUUGCUUGAAGGACCUUCAAUGCUAAAUCAGUUUCCUUUCUGGAUCUGAUUGUAUUUGGCUUAAAAUCAUAAUUUGAUGAAUGAAGUAGGUUCAAACAUUCAAAAUACAGCUUGCUUACUGAGACUCCGAGAACAGAACGAACGGCCCUUUUUUGGCAGAAGCGUGCUCCUCUGGUUUGGGUGCUGGAAGUUCAGAUCUUCAAGUGCAGACAAAUCUUUACUGAACAUGAGGCUCUUUUGGAAUACAGGUACGGAGAAAGACUGUGGACAGACCCGAUGCAUUAAACAGAAGAGAACAAAGGAAAUAAAGCAGCUCUACUAUUUAUAUGCAACAAAGUGCUUUACAAAGCAUACUGAAGUGCAUUCCUUGUUUUAUGGUAUACCUUUUCUUUACUGCAAGCUCUUGAUGUUGGUAGGGCAGGUUUAG
rnacentral:lncRNA from 1 species